UUUAACUAACAAAAAGAAUAUGCCAUGAAUAUUGAUAUAUUGUUUAAGUAUCCAAAUUUAAAUGAGAUAUCUAUACUAUUAUUUGCGAAUUGAUUUUUCACAUUCGUGCUCUCACGUUAAAAGUUAGAAUUGAUAAAGUUGUUAUUACUCUUAAUGAAUAAUUAAAAAUAUUUAUUAGAUUUAUAAUUUAUUAUUGAUUAUAAAUUAAUAUAAUAGAAAUUAGCAACAAAAAAACGAAUUUAAUUUAAAGUAGCAAAAAUUAUCCAAAAAUAAAAAAAUAUUUAAAAAAUAAAUAAAAGAUAAUUCAUAUAUAUAAUUCAUAUAUUAGUUGUGUUUAAUGAUCAACAAGAUUUAUUUGUCAUAUUAUCAUUAUCUAACAAUAUUAUCUAUUAUGUUAUUAUCCAAAAUUAUUCUACAUUAUUAUGUAAAAAUAUUAUUUCUCAUUUUAUUAUUUAAAAUUAAUUAAAAAUAAGAAUAAAAGUAUAUAUUUAUAAAAUGUUAAAAGUAAAAUUGUUAAUAAAUUACUAACAAUUACCAGUUUUUAGUAUAAAACUAAUAUGAUCAUUAACUACAUUUAGUGGAAUUUGUUUCUCAAAAAUUUGAUUAUAAAUAAAAAAUGCUCGAUAAAUGUUGGUUCAUAUCAAUUAUAUUUGAUUAGUGAAACUCAACUCAUUAUAUAGAACAAAAAUUUAAGGUUGAGUAAGAAAUGUUUAUAACUUUAGAUUUUUAAUUGUUCAUAUGAUUCAUUAAUGAAAUAGAUAGUCAAAUAUGAUUAAAAAUUGAUAGUAAAGGCAUAAAGCUAUCGUUUUUGAUUAAAUUUUAUACAGAUUUUAUCAUUAUAAUUGACUUGAUAAUGUAUUAAUGUAUUAUUAAUAAAUACUUGCAAAAUAAUUAUGUUCAUAUAUACGGGCAAAACACCUAGUAAGCAUUAGAGUGGAUUAGUUAUAUAAUUUGGUUGCAGGCUAUAUAGAUUACUUUUUAGAAUUUUGGAAUCAAUAACUAUUGGUUAUGGAGAAUAGAACGGGAAACAAUUAUAGGCGAAUCUUUUUAUUCAAAAGAUUAAUAGAUCUUCUCGUAUAAGAUAAUUUAAUUUUUCACUGUUAUAUAUUGACCAAUAAAUCGGUUAAACAAUUUUAUUAUUUUCGGGUAACGCAAUAAAACUGGAUGAUGAUAUUUAUAUUUUUGAAAAUUGAUACUUGAGAUUUUUCUUAGGAUAGUUUGUUUACAAAGAAUCUGAUAUCAAAUUUUCUGGUAAAAAACGUAUAAUUAUAAGUAUAUGAAUAGUAUUGGUGGAUUUAAUAUCUUAAACUAAGGGGCUAUUAUUAGUUUGUGAUUUAAAAAGAGUUUUGAUGAUUUUUUAAUUUUAUUUAGUUUCUUAAUUUAAAAAGAGUUAUGAUGAUUUUUAUAUUUUCUUAAAAUUUUGUUGAAGACUUUUGUAAAUUGUUAGAUUGUUUAUCUGAAUAUAAUUAUAAGAGUAUUUUAAAAUAUUGUUAUCCUCUUUAUUUUCCAAGUUUUUUUUUGAAACUAAAAAUAUUAAAUCUGGAUCUAUUAAAGACACAGACCUAACCUCUGGGUGGGAGAUGCAGCAGUUCAUUUUUUUAUUUUCCAAGUUUACAUUUUAUUUUUUGUUCUUCCUUUGCUCAUCUCGUAUUUGCAUUUUGCAGCAGUCCAAGUUUUUUUUUAUUUUCCAAGUUUACAUUUUAUUUUUUGUUCUUUUUUAUUUUGACCAAUGGCUUUCAUAUAUUAUAAUAGAAACAAAAGUAUUUUACAAGCCCAUGUUUAUAUAACAUGACUAUAGUCCCACCCAUAGUUUUAACCCAUACCUAAAUAAGAAGAUCAGAAUCUGGCCCAAAGCCCAUGAACAAGUUAAGACGCUUCCACUUUCAAACACGAGUCGAGAACCAAAGCUGCAUGUAUCUCGAAGAUUCCGCCGGAGAUUUCUGUCUAAGGUUCGAAAUACGAUCGGUGAUCUGACGAAUGAUGAGAGAAAUAACAACAUCUGGAGAACGGAAUUGUUGUGUGUGCAAUCUUUUAUUUCUCUCCUGCCAAAUCCAAUAAAUCUCCGCUUGCCAACAUAGAAGAGUUGCAUCUCCUAGCUACUUCCUCCCAAACUGCCCAGCUAAAAGGGCAUCGAUAGAAUAGGUGAUCCCAUUAUUCUGGCGCCUGAUUGCAGAGUAAGCAAGUUGCAUCUGUCUGGAGCCCCCAGCUACGAAGACGAUCCCUAGUUGGACAGCGGUUUAGGACGAAUAGCCAUGUUAGAAAGCUUUAUUUCUUGUUCUUCCUUUGCUCCUCUCGUAUUUGCAUUUUGCAGCAGUUCAUUUCUUUAUCUCGUAGUUCGCAAAUUUAAAUUUUUUCUUUUAUCAAAGAUUUUGUGUCCACUUCCCAGAUCAUUCACUUUCUUAAGAAUCUCAUUGACUAAUUUCUAAUUUUUUCAUUGGCGACUAGUUUAUGCUUCUAUAGGUUUUAUGUUCUUAGUUGGCAUUUUACAUUGGGGUAAGUGAACGAGAGUUGUUGCAGUC